UCCUGCAUCUCCCUCAAUUUCUACGGUGUACACCUCGGAUGUCCCAAACAAAAAAAGGACAAGGAAAGAAUGCCGAAAACACCGUACACAGAAGAUUUUCAAAUAUGAAGAGAUAGUAGACAGGAGAGUUGUAAAUGAAAAAGAAGAAGUUAAAGUCAAGUGGAAGCCUUGCUCAACAUGGUAUGUAGUAACAACUUUGUUGGACGGGAACAGACAUUCAUAUU